AACGGCCGUACCAUGAUGAAUAUACCGGUUCUCGUUAGAACACCGAAGUCAAGCAUCAUUGGGCGCGGUCAGUACUUGGAAGGGUGACU